UUAAGAUUUUCAAUUUGUUUUUUUUAUUUUUAUUGCUACCGCAUUUUUUAAAUGCAGGUCAUUUCUCUUUCUCACUAUCUUUUUUCUUGGUGAUUUUUUUUCAGAUCCGCAUGUUUAUCAUAUUUGUGCCUGUUUUGUUGUUGUUGUUGUUUCCACCAUAAUCCAUGACAUUGAACUUGGAUAUACAUUUCGCCCAUUCAUGAUCCAUUUUUGUCACUUUAAAUAUGUCAUCAUCAUUAUCAUCAUCAUCAUCAUCGUUUUUUAGUUAUUUUUAAUUUCCAAGAUGAAUUUGUAUUUUUUUUUCUUCAUCUGUGAUGAUUCGAAAUUCCUUAUGAAUGGUGUAUUCAUCAUCAUCGUCAUAUAUUCUAUUCUUAGUGUUGUGUUGUUCAUCAUUGAUAAUUCUGUUGUGUUUGAAUGACAUCAAAUAAAAAAAAACGUCAUCCACAUACACACCUAACAUACAGAUUUACUCAUACGGAUGUGCAAUAUAUCAUCAUCAUCAUCAUCAUUAUCAUUGAAUCAGUGAAAGAAAAGAAAAAUUCUAACCAUCGUCAUGAACAACAACAACAACAACAAAAGUUGAAGGGGGAAAGAAAAGUACAUUCGUUACCGACACAGAAUCGUUUGUUUUUUUUCAAUCAUUCAGUGAUGUGAAUUCAAUUUAAGGAAAAAAUUUUUUUAUUUUGAC